UGGGGCCAAUGAAGUUGGGAUCCACCCAGAUAGAUGUUUUACUUUUUAUCAUCGGUUCCCUUUCAGUAUUUGUUGGACCGGUGCAAGCCACGCAUGUUCUCCACGACUUUAUUGAUCCCAACCGGUCAUCUUUCACAGUAGGGCAGUAUAGGACCGGGUACCAUUUUCAACCGCCGAUGAACUGGAUCAAUGAUCCGAACGGACCUAUGUACUACAAGGGAAUCUACCAUCUUUUUUAUCAGUACAACCCCAAGGGCGCUGUUUGGGGAAAUAUUGUUUGGGCGCAUUCAGUGUCAACCGACAUGCUCAACUGGAUUCCUCUCGAGCCAGCCAUCUACCCCUCAAAGCCAUUUGACAUUGGGGGUUGUUGGUCGGGAUCAGCCACAAUCCUCCCUGGUAACAAACCUGCCAUCCUCUAUACAGGCAUUGAUGCUAACAAACGGCAACUCCAAAACAUGGCAACCCCCAAGGACCUAUCCGAUCCGUUUCUCAAAGAAUGGAUUAAGCCUGACUACAAUCCGGUCAUCAAUGGCGGACCUGGGAUUAAUUCGUCCGCUUUCCGCGAUCCUACAACUGCAUGGUUAGGAUCGGAUGGGCAUUGGAGGGUGGUGAUUGGUAGCCGAAGGUGGGGGAGGAACAGAGGACUAGCAGUUCUUUAUAAGAGCAAGGAUUUUGUAAAUUGGGUUGAGGUGAACCACCCAUUGCAUUCAAUGGCUGGUAGUGGGAUGUGGGAGUGUCCUGAUUUCUUUCCAGUGGCAACCGAGGGGACGAAUGGGCUAGAUACAUCUGAG
rnacentral:misc_RNA from 1 species